UACGGAGGGUGCAAGCGUUGUCCGGAUUUAUUGGGUUUAAAGGGUUCGUAGGUGGCCAACUAAGUCAGACGUGAAAUCCCUCAGCUCAACUGGGGAACUGCGUCUGAUACUGGUUGGCUUGAGUGCAGGAGAGGAACGCGGAAUUCCAGGUGUAGCGGUGAAAUGCGUAGAUAUCUGGAGGAACACCGGUGGCGAAGGCGGCGUUCUGGACUGUAACUGACACUGAUGAACGAAAGCCAGGGGAGCAAACGGG
rnacentral:rRNA from 1 species